GACGUAGGGCGCGAGCGUUGUCCGGAUUUAUUGGGCGUAAAGAGCUCGUAGGCGGCUUGUCGCGUCGACCGUGAAAACUUGGGGCUCAACCCCAAGCCUGCGGUCGAUACGGGCAGGCUAGAGUUCGGUAGGGGAGACUGGAAUUCCUGGUGUAGCGGUGAAAUGCGUAGAUAUCUGGAGGAACACCGGUGGCGAAGGCGGAUCUCUGGGCCUUACCUGACGCUGAGGCGCGAAAGCUAGGGGAGCGAACAGG
rnacentral:rRNA from 1 species